UACGUAGGGGGCAAGCGUUGUCCGGAUUUAUUGGGCGUAAAGAGCGUGUAGGCGGUUAGGUAGGUCCGUUGUGAAAACUCGAGGCUCAACCUCGAGACGCCGAUGGAAACCAUCUAACUAGAGUCCGGAAGAGGAGAGUGGAAUUCCUGGUGUAGCGGUGAAAUGCGCAGAUAUCAGGAAGAACGACCCGUGGCUAAGGCGGCUCUCUAGUACGGUACUGACGCUGAGACGCGAAAGCGUGGGGAGCGAACAGG
rnacentral:rRNA from 1 species